ensembl:miRNA MIR16-2 microRNA 16-2
CAUGCUUGUUCCACUCUAGCAGCACGUAAAUAUUGGCGUAGUGAAGUAAAUAUUAGACCCCAAUAUUAUUGUGCUGCUUUAGUGUGACAGGGAUA